rnacentral:rRNA from 1 species
CUCGUCUGAUCUCGGAAGCAAAGCAGGGUCGGGCUUGGUUAGUACUUGGAUGCGAGACCGCCUGGGAAUACCAGGUGCUGUAAGCU